rnacentral:rRNA from 1 species
CUGCGGCAGCGACGCUUAUGCGUUGUUGGGUAGGGGAGCGUUCUGUAAGCCUGCGAAGGUGGCCUGUGAGGGUUGCUGGAGGUAUCAGAAGUGCGAAUGCUGACAUAAGUAACGAUAAAGCGGGUGAAAAGCCCGCUCGCCGGAAGACCAAGGGUUCCUGUCCAACGUUAAUCGGGGCAGGGUGAGUCGACCCCUAAGGCGAGGCCGAAAGGCGUAGUCGAUGGGAAACGGGUUAAUAUUCCCGUACUUGGUGUUACUGCGAAGGGGGGACGGAGAAGGCUAUGUUGGCCGGGCGACGGUUGUCCCGGUUUAAGCGUGUAGGUGUGUGUUCCAGGUAAAUCCGGUUCACUUUAACACUGAGGCGUGACGACGAGGCACUACGGUGCUGAAGCAACAAAUGCCCUGCUUCCAGGAAAAGCCUCUAAGCAUCAGGUAACAUCAAAUCGUACCCCAAACCGACACAGGUGGUCAGGUAGAGAAUACCAAGGCGCUUGAGAGAACUCGGGUGAAGGAACUAGGCAAAAUGGUGCCGUAACUUCGGGAGAAGGCACGCUGACACGUAGGUGAAGUGAUUUACUCAUGGAGCUGAAGUCAGUCGAAGAUACCAGCUGGCUGCAACUGUUUAUUAAAAACACAGCACUGUGCAAACACGAAAGUGGACGUAUACGGUGUGACGCCUGCCCGGUGCCGGAAGGUUAAUUGAUGGGGUCAGCGCAAGCGAAGCUCCUGAUCGAAGCCCCGGUAAACGGCGGCCGUAACUAUAACGGUCCUAAGGUAGCGAAAUUCCUUGUCGGGUAAGUUCCGACCUGCACGAAUGGCGUAAUGAUGGCCAGGCUGUCUCCACCCGAGACUCAGUGAAAUUGAACUCGCUGUGAAGAUGCAGUGUACCCGCGGCAAGACGGAAAGACCCCGUGAACCUUUACUAUAGCUUGACACUGAACAUUGAGCCUUGAUGUGUAGGAUAGGUGGGAGGCUUUGAAGCGUGGACGCCAGUCUGCGUGGAGCCGACCUUGAAAUACCACCCUUUAAUGUUUGAUGUUCUAACGUGGACCCGUUACCCGGGUUGCGGACAGUGUCUGGUGGGUAGUUUGACUGGGGCGGUCUCCUCCUAAAGAGUAACGGAGGAGCACGAAGGUUGGCUAAUCCUGGUCGGACAUCAGGAGGUUAGUGCAAUGGCAUAAGCCAGCUUGACUGCGAGCGUGACGGCGCGAGCAGGUGCGAAAGCAGGUCAUAGUGAUCCGGUGGUUCUGAAUGGAAGGGCCAUCGCUCAACGGAUAAAAGGUACUCCGGGGAUAACAGGCUGAUACCGCCCAAGAGUUCAUAUCGACGGCGGUGUUUGGCACCUCGAUGUCGGCUCAUCACAUCCUGGGGCUGAAGUAGGUCCCAAGGGUAUGGCUGUUCGCCAUUUAAAGUGGUACGCGAGCUGGGUUUAGAACGUCGUGAGACAGUUCGGUCCCUAUCUGCCGUGGGCGCUGGAGAACUGAGGGGGGCUGCUCCUAGUACGAGAGGACCGGAGUGGACGCAUCACUGGUGUUCGGGUUGUCAUGCCAAUGGCACUGCCCGGUAGCUAAAUGCGGAAGAGAUAAGUGCUGAAAGCAUCUAAGCACGAAACUUGCCCCGA